rnacentral:rRNA from 2 species
AAAAGCUCGUAGUUGGAUCUCAGAUCCGGCCGGACGGUCCACCUACCGGUGGUUACUGUUCGUUGCCGAUCGUUCAGGCGGUUAUUCUUGAUGAUCUUCACCGGUUGUCUCGGGUGACCGCCAAGUUUACUUUGAAAAAAUUAGAGUGCUCAAAGCAGACGUGACGUCUGAAUAAUUGUGCAUGGAAUAAUGGAAUAGGACCUCGGUUCUAUUUUGUUGGUUUUCGGAACACGAGGUAAUGAUUAAGAGGGACAGACGGGGGCAUUCGUAUUGCGACGCUAGAGGUGAAAUUCUUGGACCGUCGCAAGACGAACUACUGCGAAAGCAUUUGCCAAGAAUGUUUCCAUUAAUCAAGAACGAAAGUUAGAGGUUCGAAGGCGAUCAGAUACCGCCCUAGUUCUAACCAUAAACAAUGCCAGCCAGCGAUCCGGCUGUGUUCCUCAAAUGACACGCCGGGCAGCUUCCGGGAAACCAAAGCUUUUGGGUUCCGGGGGAAGUAUGGUUGCAAAGCUGAAACUUAAAGGAAUAGACGGAAGGGCACCACCAGGAUUGGAGCCUGCGGCUUAAUUUGACUCAACACGUGGAAACUUACCCGGCCCGGACACAGGAAGGAUUGACAGAUUAAGAGCUCUUUCUUGAUUCUGUGGGUGGUGGUGCAUGGCCGUUCUUAGUCGGUGGUGCGAAUUGUCUGGUUAAUUCCGAUAACGGACGAGACUCUAGCCUACUAAAUAGACGUUCCCAUCAUCUUGUGUGGGAUGCUCUUCUUAGAGGGACAAGUGGCGUUUAGCCGCACGAGACAGAGCAAUAACAGGUCUGAGAUGCCCUUAGAUGUCCGGGGCCGCACGCGCGCUACAUUGAAGGAUUCAGCGUGUGCUUUCCCUGUCCGAAAGGACUGGGUAACCCGUUGAACCUCCUUCGUGCUGGGGAUUGGCGAAUGUAAUUGACGCCAUGAACGAGGAAUUCCCAGUAAGCAUGAGUCAUCAGCUCGUGCUGAUUACGUCCCUGCCCUUUGUACUCACCGCCCGUCGCUACUACCGAUUGAGUGAUUUAGUGAGGUCUUCGGACUGGCGCUCGGAUUGGCCUUCGCGGUCGAGCCGGUGUGCCGGAAAGAUGACCAAACUUGAUUACUUAGAGGAAGUAAAAGUCGUAACAAGGUUUU